GAGAGAGAGAGAGAGAAAGUCCCAUGAUUUGAGUACAACCAGCACAGAUCUUCAGAAGGUGAUGUCAUAAAACUUACUUCUUCUGAGAAGACUUCCACAGGCUAGCCCAGACUGUUGAAGUGCUCCAUGACACAAUAAAGGAGAACCCUUAGACACUGUGCUAUAAUCACUGCUAAAAGAACACAAGCAAGUCAUCAUCUGUGGCCUUCCAUGGUAGCACCCAAAAUAAAGCCAGAAGACUUCUCUUACAUGGCUGAUGGAAAUCCAUCUUAUGACCUUACAGACUUCAUGCACAUUUAAAACAGCUCAUAAAGGUCUUGCAAAGCACUUCACAAUUCUCUCAUGUGAUCCUCAUUACAACCCUGUGAGGUCUAGCCCAUCUUCUGUCUUGUGAAAAAAAAAAUUCAAUUGUGGGAAUUAGGAGAAAACCUAAGUGUAUUGUUUGAACCUGGCCCUUCGUGACUGAGAAGUUGGACUACCUCUACCUGCUGCUUAGAGACCCUUAACUCAAGACCUAAGUUAUGCUAACCAGAAACCCAGUCAUACCCAAGUUUGAUUGAUGCAAGGAAUUUUUCUCACAAUCGUUUAUCUCAAGCAACCUAUAUGUCUUAUCUGAAAAUUGGCCCCAUACUGAUCAAGCAAUUAUUGUUCGUGUUCCCUUGCCCAUUUAGUGGGAUACCUCUUUUUCUGAUUUCAGGGAAUUGUAACUGUUUGCUCUCCCCCUUCCAACUUAGAAAGCCCUUAAUCUUUUCCUCCAAUUAGAAAUUAGAUUACCUAACAUCAUAUUCUGAUUGUCUUCUAAUUAGUUUUAUUUGAUUGUUUUUAAUAUAUAAAAGUCUGUCUCCUCCUGUAUUCAAGGUCCAGUGCCAAAGCUGAGAAAACCAACUGGUCCCAAUUUGUUGGGCAAUUGGCAUUCAUUGCUUAAUAAAUC